rnacentral:rRNA from 1 species
GACGAACGCUGGCGGCGUGCUUAACACAUGCAAGUCGAACGGAAAGGCCCUGCUUUUGUGGGGUGCUCGAGUGGCGAACGGGUGAGUAACACGUGAGUAACCUGCCCUUGACUUUGGGAUAACUUCAGGAAACUGGGGCUAAUACCGGAUAGGAGCUCCUGCUGCAUGGUGGGGGUUGGAAAGUUUCGGCGGUUGGGGAUGGACUCGCGGCUUAUCAGCUUGUUGGUGGGGUAGUGGCUUACCAAGGCUUUGACGGGUAGCCGGCCUGAGAGGGUGACCGGCCACAUUGGGACUGAGAGACGGCCCAGACUCCUACGGGAGGCAGAAGUGGGGAAUAUUGCACAAUGGGCGGAAGCCUGAUGCAGCAACGCCGCGUGCGGGAUGACGGCCUUCGGGUUGUAAACCGCUUUCGCCUGUGACGAAGCGUGAGUGACGGUAAUGGGUAAAGAAGCACCGGCUAACUACGUG